rnacentral:rRNA from 1 species
AAAUGAAUUGACGGGGACCCGCACAAGCAGCGGAGCAUGUCGUUUAAUUCGAAGAUACGCGAAAAACCUUACCAAGGCUUGACAUCGGAUGCAUAGCAUGGAAACAUGUGAAAUAGUAGUAAUAUUACAUCUAGACAGAUGGUGCAUGGUUGUCGUCAGCUCGUGUCGUGAGAUGUUGGGUUAAGUCCCGCAACGAGCGCAACCCUUAUUCAAAGUUGCUAACAUUAAGUUGAGAACUCUUUGAAGACUGCCGUGGAUAACACGGAGGAAGGUGGGGAUGACGUCAAAUCAUCAUGCCUCUUACGCCUUGGGCUACAGACGUGCUACAAUGGCUCUUACAAAGUGUUGCCAACCCGCGAGGGGGAGCUAAUCACAAAAAAGGAGCCUCAGUUCAGAUUGUAGGCUGCAACCCGCCUACAUGAAGUUGGAGUUGCUAGUAAUCCCGAAUCAGCAUGUCGGGGUGAAUGCGUUCCCGGGUCUUGUACACACCGCCCGU